rnacentral:lncRNA from 1 species
GUCUAUAUAGUUUAAAUUUAAUUAUGUUAAUAUAAUUGUUUUUAUGUUUUUAUUAUUUAAAGCUUCAAAUAAGAGGAUGCAGCGAUAAUAAUUUUUUUAACGUAUUUUAAACAGCUAAUGUAGGCAAUCACAUUAAAAAGUAAAAAUAGUAAUGAGAAGAAUGCAACCGGUUAUCACUAUUUGCAUAUACACCUUAGUAUUUUUUCAUUUCUUGGUUUAUUUUAAAUUUUGUAUACAUUUUAUUUGACCAAUUGAAUUUGAAUAUUUUACUAUUCUUUCUUAUUGGUAUAUAUGUAGAUUUUUUUUUUCCUUUUAUAGCACAUAGUUUAUGUUAUUGUAGUUUAUGAUUACGUUAAUAGUUUUAAAUUGAUUUUGAUACAAAUCU